AUACAGAGGGUGCAAGCGUUAAUCGGAAUUACUGGGCGUAAAGCGCGCGUAGGCGGUUUAAUCAGUCGGAUGUGAAAGCCCCGGGCUCAACCUGGGAACUGCAUUCGAUACUGUUAAGCUAGAGUAUGGUAGAGGGAAGUGGAAUUCCAGGUGUAGCGGUGAAAUGCGUAGAUAUCUGGAGGAACAUCAGUGGCGAAGGCGACUUCCUGGACCAAUACUGACGCUGAGGUGCGAAGGCGUGGGGAGCAAACAGGAUUAGAAACCCUGGUAGUCC
rnacentral:rRNA from 1 species